rnacentral:rRNA from 1 species
CCUACGGGUGGCUGCAGUGGGGAAUAUUGGACAAUGGGCGAAAGCCUGAUCCAGCCAUGCCGCGUGUGUGAAGAAGGCCUUCGGGUUGUAAAGCACUUUCAGUGGGGAAGAAAGCCUUGGGGCUAAUACCCUCGAGGAAGGACAUCACCCACAGAAGAAGCACCGGCUAACUCCGUGCCAGCAGCCGCGGUAAUACGGAGGGUGCGAGCGUUAAUCGGAAUUACUGGGCGUAAAGCGCGCGUAGGCGGUCUGAUAAGCCGGUUGUGAAAGCCCCGGGCUCAACCUGGGAACGGCAUCCGGAACUGUCAGGCUAGAGUGCAGGAGAGGAAGGUAGAAUUCCCGGUGUAGCGGUGAAAUGCGUAGAGAUCGGGAGGAAUAUCAGUGGCGAAGGCGGCCUUCUGGACUGACACUGACGCUGAGGUGCGAAAGCGUGGGUAGCAAACAGGAUUAGAUACCCGAGUAGUC